UUGGUAGUUUUUUUUGGGGCGAAAUUCUUUUAAAAAGUAACAAAGAAGUACAAAAGGUAAACUCAGGUAAAAAAUUUUAUCUUUGAGCGUAAAAGCAAAUGUUUGCUUAACUGUAAGACGGAUAUGUCACACAGAAACGUAAGUUGGUUUUAGUGACCUCACUUUUCUGAUUAAAAAGGAAGUGAUUCAUCAGAUAAAAGGUACGCUGGGGAUAACAGAAUAAUAAAAAUCAAGCGUUCAAAGCGACGUUUUUGUUUGUGACCUCGAUGUCGACUUGUGGCAACCUUGAUGCGAAGAAGUUUCAAAGGGUUUGACUGUUCGUCAAUUAAAGCCGUACAUGAGUUGGGUUUAGAACGAUGUGAAUCAGUUUGGUUUCUAUCUAGCAAGGCCAAUAAAAACUGAGAGUUCACUCUUUAGUAUGAGAAGAAUAAGAGUGGAAAGCCUAUGGUCAUUAGCUAUUUUACCAAAGGUAAGCUAAUUCGCUACGCUUUAAGAGAUAAAAAAUGAAAGCAUCUAUUUUGUUGAAACUCCUCUCAAGACAAGUUUUUGUUUAGCACGAAACAAUGUGUUAUUAUGUUUUGGUUGAAAAACACAACCUUGUUCGGCGAUCGGUUUUUAGGCUGUAAGGUCU
rnacentral:rRNA from 14 species